GUUUAAGAUUGGAUUUAUGCCCAUUUUGAGUAAAUCCUCACCCUCCUUGGUUUAGCUUCGGCUGAUCUCAGUUGGUUCUUGUUAAAACCAAAAUAUCCUCACCUGCAGCCCACGAGGAUUACUUUGCUUCAUCGUUGUAUUCUAACAACCCUGGGAUGUUGGAUUGAUUACUGACGCCAUUUGAGAGAUGAGGAAAUAAAUUCUCAUACAAAUGAAGUGGUUUGUCCUGAGUCAGAGAGUUAGAAAACUUCAGAGGCGAGAUUUGCACCUGUAGUCCUAAGCCAGUGUUGAGGCUGAAGGAGACGGUAUUCCUGGUUAGAUUACAUCAUUACCACAAGAGAGGCUUGAGUUCUGAGGAUGACGGUUUUAUAGCCCGUAGACCCCCACAACUGGAGCCAUCUGGACUUCUGGAAGCCUGGUACCAACCAGGUCCAGGAAGAAGACGUCCAGCACUCCAGGAGUCCCACGCGCUCCCUCCCAGUUGCAAUGCUCAUACUCCUCCUUGGAGAUUCCGUCACUCUGGCCUCCAACCUCCAGCUGAGUUUGCCUGCCUCCAAACGUUAUGGGAGGUUGAUGUGUGAAGCACCUACGAGUGCCUCGUGGAAUACUACGAGCAUGUGAACACCCCACGGCAGAGAAUUCCGGAUUGCCACAGGGAAAGGCGACUAGGCUUCCUAGAUGGCAAAUUUGCCCUGAUUCCCAGCCUGCUGCCUGCAUUAGUCAAGGUUCUCCAGAGAAACAGAACCGAAGAGAGAGACAGACAUGUUAUAAGGGAUCGACUUAAUUUCAGAAGCUUUGAAUCUCAAGGUCUGCAGUUAAAGAGCUGGACACUCAGGAGAGCUGAUGGUAUAAGGUCCAGUCUGAGGCUGAAGGCAGAAGACAGACAUGGUGUCCUAGCUGGAAGACACUCAGGCAGAGAGUGACUUCUCCCUUAGGCCACCUUCUCAUGUCGUAUCUCCUUCUCUGACGCUGACCCUCCCACCUCCCUCUUCUAAGGACCCUUGUGAUAAAGUUGUGCCCACUGGAUAACCCCAGGUUGUCUGGGGAAGAUGUAGAUGAUCCAGUCAAAGCCCAUGCCUUUCCUGGGUCAUUCAGGGGAUGCAGGGAACUGUUGUUGACCCCGUGUACGAGGAGGCAUGUUAGGUUCUUUGAAAUCGACAUUGAGCACCCUCCCCGAUGCAGCACUCCCUUCCCCAUCAUUCUGCAUCAGCAAGCCAUCUGUGCCGUUCAAAUAUUGUUCAAAUGUAAUAUUUCUGAAACUAUUUUUAAGAUGCUUCCUAAAUGCUUGCCAAAACUCUUAACGGUCCCACGUGAACAAAAAAUAAAAUCGUUCGUCAGCUUUGCAUUGUGGAAAUAGACUGUCAGAUGGAGAGAAAAUGAAGGCAGUUGAUUCAGUGCACCCCAAAGAGGAGGUGGAGGUGCUGGGUGCAUACC
ensembl:lncRNA